GCGGAUGUGUUGGAAUUGGUAGACAAGCAUGAUUCAGGUUCAUGUGAACAUAGCGUUCGUGUGGGUUCGACUCCCACCAUUCGCA
rfam:Tetragenococcus muriaticus 3MR10-3 WGS_Sequence101_163, whole genome shotgun sequence.